CAGCCAGCGCCCAGCUGCCCACACCGGCUCCCUCUCCCGCUCCGCUAUCCCCAUUGCCUCUUAGCUGCCAGAGGGGCUACCUUGCCCUUGCCCGAGACUCAAGAGUGGGAACUGGGCACAGAGGAGCUGCGGAAGCUGGGCUGGCCGGGCCAACCCGGGAACAGCCUGAGCCCUGGGGCGCCGCAGGGCCCUCAGCUGCCCUUCUUCGCUCCUCUGGGUCUUCUCCUGGGUCCCACUCCCUUGGACAGCAGCACAGUGCCCCACGCCCACGCCUGGCAGGAGCCCUGCGAGCAACCCCAGCUUUCCGGGCAGCCAGGCCUGGCCCCUGCUCACCAUGCCUUGUCUCACCAUCCAGUCACUGAGGCUCUUCUCACAGCCGCCUCCCAUCUGGGUGAGAGAGAGUCAUGCUGAUGGUGGAGGGCCAGCAAUGCCAGGGCCACUGGAGGGCGCAGCUUCUAACAGGGGUGCGCCUUUCCGGUCAGGAGGCCUGCUGCCACUUUGGGAGACGUGUGUGUGUAGGGGGGUGUGUAGGUGUGUCGGGGUGUGUAUGUAGGUGUAUGAGUGUACGUGUGGUGUGUGUAGGUGUAUGAGUGUAGGUGUGUAGGUGGAGGUUGUGUAGGUGUAGAUGUGUGUGGUGUGUGUAG